rnacentral:rRNA from 1 species
AUUGAACGCUGGCGGCAGGCCUAACACAUGCAAGUCGAGCGGAUGAAGGGAGCUUGCUCCUGGAUUCAGCGGCGGACGGGUGAGUAAUGCCUAGGAAUCUGCCUGGUAGUGGGGGAUAACGUCCGGAAACGGGCGCUAAUACCGCAUACGUCCUGAGGGAGAAAGUGGGGGAUCUUCGGACCUCACGCUAUCAGAUGAGCCUAGGUCGGAUUAGCUAGUUGGUGGGGUAAAGGCCUACCAAGGCGACGAUCCGUAACUGGUCUGAGAGGAUGAUCAGUCACACUGUAACUGUGACACGGUCCAGACUCCUACGGGAGGCAGCAGUGGGGAAUAUUGGACAAUGGGCGAAAGCCUGAUCCAGCCAUGCCGCGUGUGUGAAGAAGGUCUUCGGAUUGUAAAGCACUUUAAGUUGGGAGGAAGGGCAGUAAGUUAAUACCUUGCUGUUUUGACGUUACCAACAGAAUAAGCACCGGCUAACUUCGUG